rnacentral:lncRNA from 1 species
AAGAAGCCUGAUUCGAGGGUGGCUCCUCCGUCUUCUUCGUCGUAUGGGAGUCAUCGUGCUUCCGACUAUCUCGUCGAAUUAGUCAGGGUAAGCCAAUUUGUUAAUCAUGUUAGUGGAUUGAUGAAUGGUCUGACUAGGUAUAUUAAUCGUGAUGAUUCUGCAGUGAGUCGGAUUGCUAUUUCUGUUAUUAGUUCGAUGAAGGGAAUUGUUAGAUAUACUAAUUAUAUCGGUCCUAUUGCCUUAGUAUAUAUGUGUCGUGGUGGUAGGUAUAAUAUUUAUUAGGAUGCCCGAGUCGUUUACAGUGAUUUGGUCGAUGUCGUGUAGUGAAAGAUGUCUCAAUAGGUCCCAGUGCUUGCGGGAUUAUAGGUGUUAAAAAUGGGAAGUUUUAUUAAUAUAUAUGAUACACAGGUUAACCGGAAAAUUAGUUUAGAAAGUUAAUGAAAGUUCUUCUAUCAAAUUUUAUAAGUAUUAGGUGUCCAAGAAUGGUAAAGUUAAAGUUAUAAGUCGUUAGUGUGCUCUUUAAACUAGGUAUAAUAUGUUGUCUGUGUUGGUCACUUUCAUAAUUGGAAUGGAUGUUGAUUGCUACCUCGAAUAUUUAGUUAAGGCUGUAAUUCAAGUUAAUAAAGACACACGGUUUAGGAGUUAAUAAAAAGCUAGAAACAAAAAUGACUCCACAUGCGAAUAUUAAUCAUAAUAUCUUGUGAGAUUAGUUUAAAUCAUAUCUAGUUAGAUUGUAAGAGCAUGAUUGUCGUAAGUAACAAUAUAUCGAUAAUUAGUGUCCGCAAUGCCUUGUCAUUAAGUGGGUUAUUCCUCUUUUGCGUAGCAUCAUAAUAUCUUGUGUUAUUCUUCCUUAUAUGCAUUCAUGUGCAUUAUGCAAAUCAUCUAGGUACGUUUAUUGACUACGUGAUGCGGAGAACCAAAGCGAAGUCGACCACAAGAUGUCGUUGCGCGUGAGCUUCUCCACAAGAUGAUGCUGAUGAACGAACCUGAAGAUGGAUACUCUGAAAGAGUGCCAAGACAAAGGAUGAUCGUCAAGUGGACGCCAUCUAACAAACACUAACCUAGUGUUUAUUCCAGGCAAGCCCCGGUGCAUUCGCCACCUCCUUGCGUUUUAAAAUCUUUAUCACCUUGUUUGAUGCAUUAGGUGAUAGGAGUUGUGUGUUAAACCGUUGAUGCAUUUCCUUCCUUGAAAAUUGAUUACCCUUCCUUGAUACCCGUUUUGAAAAGAAUUUUUUGAUGCUUAGCCUUUCUCUAGAAAAACAAAAUUUUUUGUUUUAAAACAAAAGGUGAUGCUUCAAGUGGGAUGGGAUGUUUUCAAAAAUAAAAACUUGAUGGUGGAUCCAUCAUGGCCAUGAUGGAUUCAACAUCGGAAAAGAUGUACCUCUGCCAGGUACCAAACUUUGGGUUUAAAUUAUAAAGCUGAGACCGGGCGGGUGACUUGCACGAGAAAGGAGUCUCGAUGUAGUGUCUCCGUCUGAGUCGUUUAAGGACCGUACCGAUUGUUGGCCUGCUGAUCUAGGACCCUUUAUAUGGCCACAUACCUCGUCAUGGGUAAGCUUGAACCCGGCUAUUCCAAACAUGAAAAGACAAUCGCGCACUGGGAGUGGAGAGAUGGCGAGAGUGGCACGUACCCUCCUGGCAAAGGACCGCCUAAAAGGGGUGGUGUGCUCUCGGGUGGCGCGGACCUGUUCAUGUGGUGGAGGAUCCGUGGGAAUGGUAGACAUGUGCAAAAGAGUUAAGAGAAGCAUAUGUCGUGUGGUUGGAGAUCCCCAGCUGGGUAUUAAUCGAUUCGGAUCGCCGAACUUCUCGGAUAUGAAGACUGGAUCUUCGACCCUCAUCGUAGAUAACAAGCGAAACAAAGGUUGGAUUUUAAAAGAAAGCUAGUGUAGGACAAGUGAAUGCUCUACAUUAGGCAAAUCUAGAUUCAGAAAAAGUACUUAACUUAUGAUGUAAAAUUUUGGCUUAAGGACCCACUUCUAGUAAGCUUUUCUGCAAAUGAGUCUUUGAUUCUUGAUAAGCCAUACCUUGAAUCCCUCUAGCCAGCAUACCCUUGAGAGUCUUUUCUUUAGUCGGGUAAGUCUUGCUGAGUAAUUCCGUACUCAGUGUUUUAUUCCCUGUUGUUUUUCAGGUUCUAACUUUGUGCUGUUGUUGAUGGUGUUAAGUGCCGGUGGGCUCGGCCUUCUUAUAAGUCUAAGUAACUCUUCUAUACUUCUUAUUGAGGAUGUUCACUUGAGCUAGCAUAUAUUUUAAAACUAUAAAUAAUUUAUAAUAGUUUAAAGUUAUUUCUUUGAACCACUUCUGUAACCACUCCGAUAAAUAUAAUGUAAAACUUG